rnacentral:misc_RNA from 1 species
UAGUUAACUGUUUUCUAAAACAAAAGGGUAAAUGAAAAUUCUUGUGGGUGAUGUAUCUCUUUAGAGCCAUCCUGAUCACAAUUUUUAAUAAUAGUAUCGCGAAACAAGGUACUGAGCACUUGCAGAUUCGUUACGUUGUUCAUUAUGGAUGGAAUUGGCUUCUCUUAGGCCAUGAUAGAUCUCCUCUUGAGCUUCAUUUAAGCUUGCCUAUUUACUUUUGUUGAAUGAUUUACAAUGUCAUAUCUUUUUGAUCUUGUAUACCAAUUGCUUAAGUAGCCUCCUGAAGCGUGGGAUGGAGGUGUCGGAUUCGUAUCAAAGGAGAUGAUUCAAGCCCACUGCCCUGCUCCUGCUUCUGAUAUUCAGAUUCUAAGGUGUGGACCACCACCAAUG